rnacentral:rRNA from 1 species
GGCGAACGGGUGAGUAACACGUGAGUAACCUGCCCUUGACUUUGGGAUAACUUCAGGAAACUGGGGCUAAUACCGGAUAGGAGCUCCUGCUGCAUGGUGGGGGUUGGAAAGUUUCGGCGGUUGGGGAUGGACUCGCGGCUUAUCAGCUUGUUGGGUGGGGUAGUGGCUUACCAAGGCUUUGACGGGUAGCCGGCCUGAGAGGGUGACCGGCCACAUUGGGACUGAGAUACGGCCCAG